UAUAAUUUUAUUUUCUUGGAAGGGCCGUAAAUCCUAUCUUUUAAAGGAAGGAGAAGUCGUAACAAGGUUUCCGUAGGUGAACCUGCGGAAGGAUCAUUU
rnacentral:ncRNA from 1 species